rnacentral:rRNA from 1 species
AUUGAACGCUGGCGGCAGGCCUAACACAUGCAAGUCGAGCGAUCGGCGGACGGGUGAGUAAUGUCUGGGAUACUGCCUGAUGGCGGGGGAGAACUACUGGAAACGGUAACUAAUACCGCCUACCCUCUGCUGUGACCAGAUGGGAUUAGCUGGUGGGUGGGGUAACGGCGCACCUAGGCGACGAUACCUAGCUGGUCGGAGAGGAUGACCAGCCACACUGGAACUGAGACACGGUCCAGACUCCUACGGGAGGCAGCAGUGGGGAAUAUUGCACAAUGGGCGAAAGCCUGAUGCAGCCAGGCCGCGUGGGGGAAGAAGGCCUCCGGGUUGUAAAGCACGUUCAGCGGGGAGGCGUUACCCGAAGAAGAAGCACCGGCUAACUCCGUGCCAGCAGCCGCGGUAAUAC